GCGUAACGCGUAUGCAACCUACCCUUUACUGGAGGAUAGCCCGGAGAAAUUCGGAUUAAUACUCCAUGGAACCAUAAAGUAGCAUUGCUUAAUGGUUAAAGAUUUAUUGGUAAAGGAUGGGCAUGCGUCUGAUUAGUUAGUUGGCGAGGUAACGGCUCACCAAGACGAUGAUCAGUAGGGGUUCUGAGAGGAUGAUCCCCCACACUGGCACUGAGAUACGGGCCAG
rnacentral:rRNA from 1 species